rnacentral:rRNA from 1 species
UAAGGAAUAUUGGUCAAUGGACGGAAGUCUGAACCAGCCAUGCCGCGUGCAGGAAGACGGCCCUACGGGUUGUAAACUGCUUUUGUACUGGAAUAAACCUCUUUACGUGUAAGGAGCUGAAUGUACAGUAAGAAUAAGGAUCGGCUAACUCCGUGCCAGCAGCCGCGGUAAUACGGAGGAUCCAAGCGUUAUCCGGAUUUAUUGGGUUUAAAGGGUGCGUAGGCGGCCUAUUAAGUCAGGGGUGAAAGACGGUAGCUCAACUAUCGCAGUGCCUUUGAUACUGAUAGGCUUGAAUGCAGCUGAGGUAGGCGGAAUGUGACAAGUAGCGGUGAAAUGCAUAGAUAUGUCACAGAACACCGAUUGCGAAGGCAGCUUACUAAAGUGCGAUUGACGCUGAGGCACGAAAGCGUGGGGAUCAAACA